rnacentral:rRNA from 1 species
UACGGAGGGGGCUAGCGUUGUUCGGAAUUACUGGGCGUAAAGCGUACGUAGGCGGCUUUGUAAGUUAGAGGUGAAAGCCCGGGGCUCAACUCCGGAAUUGCCUUUAAGACUGCAUCGCUUGAAUCAUGGAGAGGUGAGUGGAAUUCCGAGUGUAGAGGUGAAAUUCGUAGAUAUUCGGAAGAACACCGGUGGCGAAGGCGGCCUGCUGGGACAUGGCUGACGCUGAGGCGCGACAGCGUGGGGAGCAAACAGG